rnacentral:lncRNA from 1 species
CAGCACUUUGGGAGGCCAAAGCGGGCGGAUCAUGAGGUCAGGAGAUCAAGACCAUCCUGGCUAACACGGUGAAACCCCGUCUGUACAAAAAAUACAAAAAAUUAGCCGGGGGUGGUGGUGGGCACCUGUGGUCCCAGCUACUCGGGAGGCUGAGGCGGGAGAAUGGCGUGAACCCGGGAGGUGGAGCUUACAAUUGCAGUGAGCCGAGAUUGUGCCAAUGCACUCUAGCCUGGGCGACAGAGCGAGACUCCGUCUCAAAAAUAAAUAUAUAAAAUAAAAUUGGGAAAACAAAAGAAGAGCUAUACAAGGAUGAAAAAUAAAGCAUAAUCUUAGAACAAAAAUAGAGGCCCUACAAAGGAAAGCAAGAUAAAGUGACAAAAAAUAAUCAGUGAAGCCAGAUGUGGUGGCUUACACUUGUAACCCCAGUACUUUGGGAGACCAAGACUGGGGGAUCUCCGGAGGCCAGGAGUUUGAGACCAGAAGGGCAACAUAGUGAGACUCUGUUUCUACAUGUAAGAUCCAGGCUGUUAAAAAGUUCCAGACAGAAAUAACACUUUAUCACACUUGGUUAAACUGAAUUUUUGUACUUUGGUUUCUGAAAAUCAAAACCUCUCAUGAUUGUAUUUAAACAUCUUUAAUAAAAGUGGGCUUACAUGAAGUAAAGCAGUAUGAAGAAAUAUGAUAAAAACAAAAUGUGUGUGCAUAUAAUCUCUAAAGAGAUUAGAGAUGAAGUUAAGAUCAGAGUCGUCUUUUUAUUAAAUAUAAAACCAUAGAAUCAAACAAUAAUUGAAUUUCUGUAAUAAAUGUUUCAUAUAUCAAAGCAUUAUAACUUUUGGUGCUCAAAUGUCUUCUACUUCUGGCAUGUUCUAUUAUGGAAUUAUUAAUUUGAAACAGGCAGAUAAUCUUGAAUGUCAUACUUUAGAAAAAUACAAAUAUGGCCAGGCAUGGUGUCUCAUUCCUGUAAUCCCAGCAGUUUGGGAGGCCGAGGUGGGCAGAUCACUCAGGGUCAGGAGUUCAAGACUAGCCUGGCCAGCAGGGUGAAACUCUGUUUGUACUAAAAAUGCUAAAAAUAGCUGGGUGUGGUGGUGGGCAUCUGUAAUCCCAGCUACUUGGGAGGCUGAGGCAGGAGAAUUGCUUGAACUUGGGAGGCGGAGGUUGCACUGAGUUGAGAUCCCACCACUGCACUCCAGCCUGGACAACAGAGUGAGACUCCAUCUCAGAAAAAAA